rnacentral:rRNA from 1 species
UUCUAUAAAAUUAUAGAACAUUUUAUGCUAAAACUAGUAACAAGAGCUUACCCCUCUCUACAAUGCAAGUAUAAGCCAGCAAGAACUCAUCACUGGCAAAUAGCAGGCCUAAAUUCAAGUAGCAAAACCCCCCCCCCCCAAAACACUACCUCACCUUAACUGUUAACCUAACACUAGAGCAUUCCAAGAAAGAUUAAAAGGGGGAGAAGGAAUUCCGCAAAUAUUAGUUCCGCCUGUUUACCAAAAACAUCGCCUCUUGUGAAUCAAUAAGAGGUCUAGCCUGCCCAGUGACUCUGUUCAACGGCCGCGGUAUCCUAACCGUGCAAAGGUAGCGUAAUCACUUGUCCCCUAAAUAGAGACUAGUAUGAAAGGCAUCACGAGAACUAAACUGUCUCCUCCCCCUAAUCAGUGAACCUAAUAACCCCGUGAAGAAGCGGGGAUCUCAAUAUAAGACGAGAAGACCCUAUGGAGCUUAAAACACUACAUCACCUGCCACCCACUUAUCCACCCUGGCACACUGAUUAUAUGUUUUUGGUUGGGGUGACCGCGGAGAAAAACCUAUCCCCCGCGAUAAAGGAAUCCUCCACAAACAGUAAGUCACAACUUUAUGUAUCAGAAAACUGACAUUAUUGACCCAAUAUAUUUGAUCAACGAACCAAGUUACCCUAGGGAUAACAGCGCAAUCCACUUCGAGAGCUCCUAUCGAC